UUCUAAUUCCCUUCCAACAGAUUUUAAAUAAUGUUUCGGUGCCAGACAAAAAAUUCUGAAAACCUAUCAAAAGAUUCGCCCUGAAGAAGAUAAAGGUGCUCCAGAACUGGCCGGCUCAGUAGCCAGACAUGAAUGUCAUUGAGCAUGUCUGCUUUAGAAUGAAAGAGGGAGCAUGGAAGGCUAAACCAAAGAACCUUGAUGAACCGUAAGACUACUUUCCUUGCAAUCCCUGAUGACCUGAUCAGUCAUGAGUCUGGAGAUGCAAGCAAUGGUUAAGAUUUAAAACCCUUGUGACAAGGAAACUCCACGGAUCGCAGAAGUUCGACUCGAUGUCCUUGAUGGAUGGCUGAGGUCCACCAGCUACAUGCCAGCAACCUAUGACUUGCCUUUCUAUUUUUUUUUCAUUUCAACAAAGAAAACCUACAAUGGCAAUGACUCUCUGAUCAAUCAUGCAUCAGUCAAAACCCACUCACCAAACACUUUGGUUGGUAACAGACAAGCCCAAAAUGAAAAAGCCACCUCAGUUAACUAAACACCCACAAGAAGUCCUUGAAGAGUCACACAAUGGGUCCACUGUGUGGAUACUUAAUUUUAUUUUAAGACCAAAAGAAAUAAAAGGCGUGUGAGUAUUUUCUGCCCUACCUGUCAUCGUUCUGGAAGCUUUGGUCACCGAGCAGCAAGUCUCUAAAGCGGAAGCGGGGCGGCAGAGGAGGCACCUCACUCUCCAGCUGCUCCAUCUUUAGCCUGGAGAUGUCUAAGAUGACCCCACUGCUGCUGCUGCUGGACUGGAGAGGUGCCUGAGAGGCGCUGCAGGUGAGGAAGCAAACAAGGACAACAGGGCAGAGGGAGAGAAGUGAAGGAAAUCGACGGAACGAGGGAAGCUGAGAGGAAAACAAGAUGUACCAGGAGGAGGAAAGGAGGCAAGGGAAGGAGAUUUGAUGAGAGCAGACAGCAGCCAUACAAACAAAAGUGUCGCUGUCACUUCAUUUAACCUCCAGUGCAACUGAACAGAUGACGAUGACCACCAUUCAAAGUAGAGCACAAUUUAUUUGAACUCAUGACUGUGCUAAAUCAU